AUGAUAAAAUUCUCCGAACGCCAUGAUUUCUUCCGUCGCUUUGCACAGCGGGUGGGUAGAAUAACUUUUUUUAAUUCCAGAAAAAAUGUUAUUUGUUAACCGUCAUGUGUACAACCGCCUACCCGGGUAAGUUUCGCAUCUUUGUUCCAAAAUAACUUUGGAUUUAAAAAUCGUAUCGACUUCAAAUUUUAAAAAUGCCUCAGAAAAGCUGUUUUCUACCCAUGUGCAAAAAGUGAAAAAUAUAAAAAAUGUUUAAAUAUUUUUUUAAAUUAUUUAAGUUUAUAUACCCUUCAGCCUACCCGAGUAGGCCAUACAUUUUGUAUGGAAGAAUGAUGUUUUUCGUGGUUAAAAGCGUAUAUCUUUUGAAUUAAUUGUUAGAUUUGGAUUAAAACUGUCUUAUAGGAUAGUAAUGUUUGAUAACAUAUCAUAAUAAAAUUAGAAUUUUAAAAAUCAAUAUUUUUUUCAAUCGAAAAUGUGCUGUAACUCCAACACCCCAACCGGCCUUACCGCAUGUUUUAAGAGGAUGCUUAUGUCUUUUUAUUUUCUUUCAAAUGUUGUAUUACAGUUGUGUGCAGUUAAAUUUUAUUGCUUGUUGUGUAACAAUAUAUUGAAAUGAACACUGAAAUCACCUCUUUUAAAACCAACCAACCACUAUACCAACCACUACAAGCAAACAAAAUAGAAUCGGCUGAAAGUUAACACACACAUUCAUACUUUUGUCAUAAUGUUACUGCCGAAUAGAGAUGGGUGUUUUGGAGCGCACCAAUGGCUCCGAAGUCGGCUCUGCACCCACGGCUCCAGAGCCGGAUACACACCAACAGCUCCGGAGCCGUCUCCGUACCAACAGCUCCGGAGCCGGCUCCGUACCAACAGCCCCGGAGCCGGCGAUGAAUCAAUGGCUCCGGAGCCACUGGAGCGGAGUCAGCUUUGGAGCCGUGGGUGCGGAGCCAUGGGUGCGAAGCCGGCUCCGUUGUGUUCCGGUUUUUCCGGUCGGAGCCGGUUUUUAAUAAAACAUGAUGAGCAUAUUUUAUAGAUCGUCAACAUAUAUUUUUAUACAACAUGCAAAAAAAUUGAAAAAUGUAUAUAACUUUUGAAAGAAACGUAAGUAAAACUUAGAAAAAGACUAAUCAUCUUAAACAUGCGGCCUGGCCAGUUAUGGUGGUGUCUAACUUUAACUGUCUAACAUAUUUUUGACUGAAAAAAAUCUUGAUAGGAUUUUUAAAAUUCUAAUUUUACUAUGAUAUGUUAUAAAACAUUAUAAUGAACCUUUAAGACAGUUUUUAUUCAAAUCUUACAAGAAAUUCAAAAGAUAUACUCUUUUAACCAGGAAAAACAUCAUUGUUCCAUACAAAAUGUAUGGCUUACCCGGAUAGGCGGUUGUACGAUUACGUUAAGUUUUUUGUUCGUACACAAGACGGUUAAACAACAUAAAAACUCAUGUUUCGAGUCAUAUAAUGGAAUAAUUCAAUCGGUUAAGAGAAUGUUUCAAACCGGUAGUGGAAUCGUGUAAGCAUUAUGUGAAGGUUUGCAAUCAUAUAAUGUAGUUUUGCAACCGUGUUGUGGAAUUUUGCAAGCCUUCUGUAGAGCGGCCGUCAGACUUUCGAAAUCAGUUCUCGCAUGGCAAAGUAUUGAUAAUACGGUAGAUCAUUAUGCAACAUUCUGGAGCACAGCUAUGAUGAAACACAACUUAAGGGCGAUAAGCGCAAUUCUAUAAUUUUUACUCAACAUGCAUUUUCCAUGAUAUAAAUUAAGUGAUGACCAAUUGGAAAUUACGACCAGGAUGUAUGCGAUAGCCAUAACCAGGAUAUUUUCUUCAUUAAAUUCCAAGUCAUCGGCUCUGUCGCUAUAUAAUAGCAAUUGCAAAUUGCUAUUCAAUCGUGAACCCACAACACAUAUCAAUCGUAAUCUAGCAGAAAUGCUAGAUAAAGAUUUCGCUACUUAAGGUCCGUUUAGUGAUUGAGUGAGCGAAUACCUUUUUUUUUUCAUUAUUCUAUUAUAAUUCACAUUAUAUAUUCACUCUAAUAACAUAGCUAUGUAUGGUAAUAAACUUUAAUUUGUUCCAUAACAAUAAAAAAAUCAUUAUGCGUUCAUGGUGAAAUUGGGAUUUCAGUAGAGAUUUUCAAAAACAUAUAUUUUACAAAGAUUUACGCUCGUUUUAGCAAAUUUUGCUGAUUUGACACAAGCAAAAUAAAUUCCACAUUUUCCGGUAAAAUUUUAUAUUUGAUUCAAGAAGGUUUGUGUAGUAAUAAUUUGAAAAAAUUCGCUUUGUAAAUAUAAUUAAAAUUAUUGGCUAAAACUUUUAUUGACCAAGCAAAAUUAUACGAACAUAACUGAUAUUUUAGCAGGAAACCGUGAAAUUCGUCUCAUACAGAAAACUCUCGAUUUUUUUUCUGUAUAAGACGCUGUACGCUUUUUUGUUGCUGUUUUCGAUCCCCAUCAAUAGUAUAUCUCAGGGACCUAUGUACAUGGGAAAUAGAAUAUCCUUGUAUUUUGUAUAUCUAUAUUUCAAUGGACAUUAUUUGGUUUCAUCAAAAACCAGUAUUACACGUUCACGUUUACUCGAUCGCUAGACGGAUUUUUAGGUUCAAUUCACUUAAGUAUCAUAAUUCGAGCUCUUAUUGCUGUUUCUGAAUGGCCAUCGUGUGCGUAAGCUAACACAAAUUGGAUGAAUACCGUGACGAAUAUGUAAAUAAUAUGGUCUUUUAUUAUUUUUGUAACAAGUAAAAAUAAAUGUAUCAUAUAACACCAUAACACUGCGAUUGUUGUAACUGUUGAAUUAUAAAGGUUUGCCCCUGGAAAUGCUGUUGAUAUUGCAAAGAAGCCGGAUAUGCGUAAUUUCUGUAUAUAGUCAGAUCCAGCGAACGCGGUUUUUGCGUUCCCAAGGCAUUCACAUAAAUUGAUAAUUCACGUAAGUUCAAUUUUUUU